ensembl:lncRNA
AUCUCUAUCUGGUGAUUACUCCUCUUGGAGCCCUUCUGCGAGCCGAGGACAUGGAUUCACUAUUCAGAUGGACAGGAUGCCCCUGAGCAUUCUCGGUUAUAUGCUCCAGGAUGAAAAGCCUCCAGCUCUCUCAACCUUACAGAUGCUUCAGUCUUUCAAUUAACUUUGUGAUCCUUCCCUGGACUUGUUCCAGUAUGAGCAGGUCUUGUACUGUGAGCGCAGCAGUGGGCCUAGAGCUUCAGGUGUGGCCUCACCAGCUCUCAACAGAGGUGAAGGAUCUCUUCCCUUGACCUGAUAACUAUGCUGUGCCAAAUGCAACCCGAAGGAAUGGUUGCCAUUAUUUCUGUAGAGGAAUAUUCCUGGCUUAUGGUCAACUUGGUGCCCACCAGGAGUUCCAGGGCUCUCUCUGCAUGUUCGCUUUCCAGCUGGUUGGCCUCCAGCCUGCACAGAUACAUGAGGCUUUAUUCCUCCCCAAGUGCAGGACUCUGUACUCCCUACUGGUGAACUUCAGAAGGUCUCAUGUCAUUUCUUUGUUCGCUUUAGGUUCCUUUGAACAGCAGCACAACCCUUCUGUGCAUCAGCUGCUAUUUCCAGCUUAGUAUCAGCUGCAGAAUAUCAUGGUCUAUGCAUGAGGAUUAAACUGUUGUCUCUUCUGGAGAAGUAACAAAUGCAGGCAAUGUUGAGGCCAAGACUUCUGAGUGCUGAUCAACUGCUUUUUUUUUUUUCCUUUAGUUGUUGUCUUUUCUGUUUUGUUUUCAAUAAGCUGGAUGCCAGUAUAGGUAUUUUGCCGUAAAAUUGCGAGUCUUGUUGGAUACCCUGAGUUCCUUUGAGUGAUAUCCUACAAUAACAAAAUUUCAGUAAUUGUAAUGACUACUUGGCAGAGAUGACAAUCCAUCACCAACAUUAACACUUCAGAUUUUUGUGAUUCAAUAUUUGAUCUAAUAAGGGGAACAUUAUAAAAAGCUUAUGGCUUUUUUCAAUAUUUGCACCAUUCAAGAAACUCUACCAAGCUGUGGGCAACAUGGUACUCUCAGUAAAUACAAGCUAGUAGUUAGCAUCAAAAGCUUGGCAAUUAUUUUAACUUUCUUGCUAGGGGGCAAAUAAAAUGCCAGUUGUAAAAUAUUUUAAUUUUUUUAUUGUUCAGUUUCCCCUUUAACAGUAUUACUGAAGGUCUGAAUGCUUUUCUUCUUCAUGCCUGUCUGUUUGCACAUGACAUGCCUGUGAAAGUUCUUACUCAUAAAUGCAUACCUUGAG